rnacentral:rRNA from 1 species
GAGGGAAAGUUGAAAAGAACUUAGAGGUGAGAGUUCAACAGGGCGUAAAACCGCUUAGAAGCAAACGGAUGGUGCUGACAUUAUUUCUGCUGAAUUCAGCUGGUCUGACGGUUGAUCGUCUGUUCGCUGAUCGCAAGACGGCUUUCAGAGUGUACUUGACCUAGGACCGGUGCAUUUUCGGUGGAAUGCAUCAUGACCGUUGACGACGCUGGCAGAAGGCCUGCUUGUUGCCGACUAUGGGUCUUCGGAUCUGUAGUGCCCCACUUGUGGUGUCCUGUCCGGGUUGCCGUCAACGGAUAACUGGACGUGCCGGUUUCUCUCGACUGGUGCUUUCUUUCGGCUGUCUGACUCGUCUAGCCGUGCGUGCACGGCGGGGCAAACCUCAGUCGUUUGUAUUGUGCUAGUUUGACGUGGCACUGAAGGUCUAUGGUGUCCGCGUCAGUCUCCCAUCCGACCCGUCUUGAAACACGGACCAAGGAGUCUAACAUGUGCGCAAGUCAUGGGGUGUAAAACCCAAAGGCGUAAUGAAAGUAAAGGCCGCAAGGCUGAGGUGUGAUGUUCUGUAUAACAGGACCGCAACACCGUCCCAUCGCAUCGGCUUGUCCGGGCGGUGGAGAAAGAGCGUACACGUUGGGACCCGAAAGAUGGUGAACUAUGCCUGAGCAGGAUGAAGCCAGAG